CAGUAAAGAUGGAGAUGGCGUGGGUGAGUUUGGCAACCUGUGAGAAAAUCAGGAACAAAAUAAAAAGUCCUGGAUGUUCAGCUGUAGAAAACCCGCUGCCUCUCACAGAACGCUGCCUCUCACAGAACGCUGCCUCUCACAGAACGCUGCCUCUCACAGAACGCUGCCUCUCACAGAACGCUGCCUCUCACAGAACGCGCUGCCUCUCACAGAACGCGCUGCCUCUCACAGAACGCUGCCUCUCACAGAACGCUGCCUCUCACAGAACGCUGCCUCUCACAGAACGCUGCCUCUCACAGAACGCUGCCUCUCACAGAACGCUGCCUCUCACAGAACGCUGCCUCUCACAGAACACUGUUCCUUUGAGCCAGAGAGGAACGGUUGGGGAGACUCAGUGAGCAUCUGCUCCCUCUGCUGAGUUAGGGGCCAGGAACCAGGGAAACUCUGGCUCCUAGUUAUAGUCACUACUAUAGGUCCUAGUUAUAGUCACUACUAUAGGUCCUAGUUAUACUAUAGGUCCUAGUUAUAGUCACUACUAUAGGUCCUAGUUAUAGUCACUACUAUAGGUCCUAGUUAUAGUCACUACUAUAGGUCCUAGUUAUAGUCACUACUAUAGGUCCUAGUUAUAGUCACUACUAUAGGUCCUAGUUAUAGUCACUACUAUAGGUCCUAGUUAUACUAUAGGUCCUAGUUAUACUAUAGGUCCUAGUUAUACUAUAGGUCCUAGUUAUACUAUAGGUCCUAGUUAUAGUCACUACUAUAGGUCCUAGUUAUAGUCACUACUAUAGGUCCUAGUUAUAGUCACUACUAUAGGUCCUAGUUAUAGUCACUACUAUAGGUCCUAGUUAUAGUCACUACUAUAGGUCCUAGUUAUACUAUAGGUCCUAGUUAUAGUCACUACUAUAGGUCCUAGUUAUACUAUAGGUCCUAGUUAUACUAUAGGUCCUAGUUAUACUAUAGGUCCUAGUUAUACUAUAGGUCCUAGUUAUACUAUAGGUCCUAGUUAUACUAUAGGUCCUAGUUAUACUAUAGGUCCUAGUUAUACUAUAGGUCCUAGUUAUACUAUAGGUCCUAGUUAUACUAUAGGUCCUAGUUAUACUAUAGGUCCUAGUUAUACUAUAGGUCCUA